CCGGCAAACGGGUGCGGAACACGUACAGAACCUUCCUUUAAGCGGGGGAUAGCCCAGAGAAAUCCGGAUUAAUACCCCAUAGUAAUGUUGGGUGGCAUCACCUGGUAUUUAAAGAUUUAUCACUUAAAGAUGGCUGUGCGGCUGAUUAGGUAGUUGGUGUGGGUAACGGCCCACCAAGCCUUCGAUCAGUAACUGGUGUGAGAGCACGACCAGUCACACGGGCACUGAGACACGGGCCCG
rnacentral:rRNA from 1 species